rnacentral:rRNA from 1 species
UACGUAGGGCGCAAGCGUUGUCCGGAUUUACUGGGCGUAAAGAGCGCGUAGGCGGAAGGUGAAGCGUGGCCUGAAAGCCCCCGGCUCAACCGGGGAAGGCGGCUGCGAACUGGCCUUCUUGAGGGCGAUAGAGGGGGGCGGAAUUCCUGGUGUAGCGGUGAAAUGCGUAGAGAUCAGGAGGAACACCCGUGGCGAAGGCGGCCCCCUGGGUCGGCCCUGACGCUGAGGCGCGAAAGCGUGGGGAGCGAACGGG